rnacentral:rRNA from 1 species
GACGAACGCUGGCGGCGCGCUUAACACAUGCAAGUCGAACGGAAAGGCCUGCUUUCCCUUGUGGAUUGCGGGUACUCGAGUGGCGAACGGGUGAGUAACACGUGAGUGAUCUGCCCCCAACUUGGGUAUAAGCCUGGGAAACUGGGUCUAAUUCCCGAUAGGACUGCAGGGUGGUGCCUGUGGUGGAAAACGAUUUUCUAGUGGUUGGGGAUGAGCUCGCGGCCUAUCAGCUUGUUGGUGGGGUAAUGGCCUACCAAGGCGGCGACGGGUAGCCGGCCUGAGAGGGUGGACGGCCACAUUGGGACUGAGAUACGGCCCAGACUCCUACGGGAGUCAGCAGUGGGGAAUAUUGCACAAUGGGCGGAAGCCUGAUGCAGCGACGCCGCGUGGGGGAUGACGGCCUUCGGGUUGUAAACUCCUUUCGACCGCGAGGAAGCCACCUGGUUGGAAGGGUGGUGACGGUAGUGGUAGAAGAAGCACCGGCUAACUACGUG